AGCGAACGCUGGCGGUAGGCCUAACACAUGCAAGUCGAACGGCAGCACAGUAAGAGCUUGCUCUCACGGGUGUCGAGCGGCGGACGGGUGAGGUAUACAUCGGAUUCUACUUUUUCGCGGGGGAUAAUGUAGGGAAACUUAUGCUAAUACAGCAUAAGACCUACGGGUGACAGCACGCGUUCUUCGGACUUUGUGCGUUUGAAUGAGCCGAUCUAGGAUUAGCUAGUUUGCGGGGUAAAGGCCCACCAAGGCGACGAUCCGUACUUGGUCUGAGAGGAUGAUUAGGCACACUGGAACUGAGACACGUUCCAGACACCUACAGUGGGCAACAGUGGAGAAUAUUGGACGAUGGGCGCAAGCCUAAUCCAGCCAUACCGCGUGAAUCAAGAAGGCCUUAUGGUUGUAAAACCCUUUUGGUGUGAGGGAAAAACAACAGUUUAAUACCCCGCUAUUCUGACGGUACCCAAAGAAUAAGCACCGGCUAACUUCGUG
rnacentral:rRNA from 1 species